ACUACCCCUGCAGUCAAGGCUGACCUCAAAAGGGGAUGAUCAUUUCCCUAAAGGUACCUAGGAGAAGAAAGAUGCAUGCUGAAGUAUUUGAGAGUGAAGUGCUAUGCUGUCUACCUACAAGGUUAUAAAUGCGUUUCCCUCUUGCACAUGAAGAAUAUUUCCAGUGGGUUUUUGUGACAUACUUUCAGCAAUGCUCAUCUGUAAACCCUUCUCCCUUAAUUACUUCUUGGUAAGUAAAGUUAAUCUUCCAAUAGGAAGAAGUGGAGUACAUUGUCAUUUAAGCACCAUUUAUCCAGCCUUCUUACUUACAAAGAAAGCUAUGGAGCCAUCUUAUACAUUUGGAAUUCCUUAAAGAGAGUGGCUUUCUAUUAAAAUGUACUUCUAUAUAUACUAUCUGUGAAGAAUUCAUGGAAGCAUGAAUCACCUUAUAAGAAGCUAAAAAUGUACCAAAAUGCAGGUAACUAUGGGUGAUCUAUAUCGAAUGUACUAUAUCCUCCAAAUCGAGAGCAUACAAUGGCAUAAACUGUAUUACAACUCAGCUAAAUCUGAAAUCUUGUUUCAAAUCACUGUUUGGUAUUAAGUCUCAGAAGACAUGUUAUAGAACCACAUGAGUAAUUUGUUUGGCAGGUGGCCAAGGCACGCCAAUUACAGAACUUUGAUUGCCAAAGGCUCCAAGUGGUCCUCCAGAGACGGUUACAUUCUGUUAAGUACUUAAGGAAGGACACUAUU